rnacentral:rRNA from 1 species
GCCUACGGGGGGCAGCAGUAGGGAAUCUUCCACAAUGGGCGAAAGCCUGAUGGAGCAACGCCGCGUGGGUGAAGAAGGUCUUCGGAUCGUAAAACCCUGUUGUUAGAGAAGAAAGUGCGUGAGAGUAACUGUUCACGUUUCGACGGUAUCUAACCAGAAAGCCACGGCUAACUACGUGCCAGCAGCCGCGGUAAUACGUAGGUGGCAAGCGUUAUCCGGAUUUAUUGGGCGUAAAGGGAACGCAGGCGGUCUUUUAAGUCUGAUGGGAAAGCCUUCGGCUUAACCGGUGUAGUGCAUUGGAAACU